ACCUGGGUGGCUCAGUAGGUUAAGUGUCCGACUUUGGCUCAGGUCAUGAUCUCAUGGUUUCGUGGGUUCGAGCCCCACAUCGGGUU
rfam:Felis catus isolate Cinnamon breed Abyssinian chromosome A1, whole genome shotgun sequence.